UACGUAGGGAGCAAGCGUUGUCCGGAAUUACUGGGCGUAAAGGGUGCGUAGGCGGCGAUGUAAGUCAGAUGUGAAAUCCCCGGGCUCAACUCGGGUUCUGCAUUUGAAACUACAUUGCUUGAGUGCAGGAGAGGAAAGCGGAAUUCCUAGUGUAGCGGUGAAAUGCGUAGAUAUUAGGAAGAACACCAGUGGCGAAGGCGGCUUUCUGGACUGUAACUGACGCUGAGGCACGAAAGCGUGGGGAGCAAACAGG
rnacentral:rRNA from 1 species